rnacentral:rRNA from 1 species
AUCGAACGCUGGCGGCAUGCUUUACACAUGCAAGUCGAACGGUAACAGGCCGCAAGGUGCUGACGAGUGGCGAACGGGUGAGUAAUGCAUCGGAACGUGCCCAGUCGUGGGGGAUAACGCAGCGAAAGCUGCGCUAAUACCGCAUACGAUCUAUGGAUGAAAGCGGGGGACCGUAAGGCCUCGCGCGAUUGGAGCGGCCGAUGUCAGAUUAGGUAGUUGGUGGGGUAAAGGCUCACCAAGCCAACGAUCUGUAGCUGGUCUGAGAGGACGACCAGCCACACUGGGACUGAGACACGGCCCAGACUCCUACGGGAGGCUGCAGUGGGGAAUUUUGGACAAUGGGCGCAAGCCUGAUCCAGCAAUGCCGCGUGCAGGAAGAAGGCCUUCGGGUUGUAAACUGCUUUUGUACGGAACGAAACGGCUCUGGUUAAUACCCGGGGCUAAUGACGGUACCGUAAGAAUAAGCACCGGCUAACUACGUGCCAGCCGCCGCGGUAACAC